GCAAAGAAUGGGCCUUUCCGGAGAAUGGCCGUCCGGCAUGGUACCAUCCCUCAUUCAAGGCCCUUUGUGCUGCCCCAUUUAAAGAAGCUGUCAAGUUCUCUGUGCAGUUGGCAGGGAAGGCCAAAUCUACAGUGCCCCAGAAGUGGCAAAAAGGAAACUUUUUCGUUUGCCUGCCAUCGUGAGGACUGAGUGAAGGAGGAAUUUUAGCAACAUGUAAUUUACUCUUGGGGCUUUUUACUGUACAUAGCUUUAGAGAUGGUAAUUUCUCCCUUUUUCGUUGUGAAAAGAUAACCAUCAAUCAGUUGUCAAUUGGUCAAUUGCAGAAGUGGUGAAAAGAAAGGGGUUGAACGAUCCCUUCUCUGUGGCUACCCUAGAGGAUUCAGGAGCCCUAGAAAAACAUGGCAGCUGGAGCAGAGCAGGGAGUGGAUCAGUUACACAGGUACAGCAGCCAUGGGGUAGCGAGCAAAGGACCAGCGUUCAGCGAGGAGCAUGAGCGGCAGUACGCUGAAGUAGGAGCACUAGCUCUUGUGAAAAAUCUGCGGACUAGGGGGCUAGUAAAGAGGGAGAGAUGCCCAGAGAGCAUACAGCUGUUUCGGUCGAGCGAGAGCGAGUUCUCCGGCGGCUGAAGAGUGGUUCUUGAAUCGGACAGAUGAUGUUCCAUCCUCUUUUCUGCCAAUCACCCAAAGAUGAGGACAACACCCAAACUGGCACGUAAGUAGCAUUGCAGUCUAGAGUGGUCCGUGGACAGUGAAAAGCAGCAUGCGCGAAUGCAGUGCACAGCAGUGUGAGAGUAUCGCAUUAUGAGCUUCAGUGGUUCGUGGGUUCUUUUUCCAUUGAUGUAUCGGACAUAAUUUAAAGCUUGCUCAACACUCGCAAACAUUAGAUUUUAAGUAGAUUUUCUAUUAUAUUCUAACUAUGCAACGUGUAAGUGUUUUUUGGUUUGUUUCUUUUGUAGGCUACUGGCUUUGUUUUGUUUUUGUAGACUGGUUUAGAAUGUUCCAAUUAUAUUUUUGGGACAUUUUGUUUGAAAUUCUCCUUAUUUCUCAGCAGAAGUAAUGUUUGAUCUUUAGCCUAAAAACUAAUCUCAAUAAUUUUCAAGAAUGUUUCAUUUGGAUUUGAACUAUUCUGGCCAACUUGCUGAGAUUAGGCUGUCAAUCAUAAAUAGGCCUAUUGAAACAGGGUUGGUCCAAAGUAAAUGUUUAAAAUAUAUUUAUAAAUUUCUGACUCUAUACCUACAAUACUGAUUUCGAGUUUGGAGUUAAGGAAAAAUAUACGAAAUUAGAGAAAAAUCAUUAAAAUAAUUGUUUUGCUUAAGCUAAGCAAGUCGAAGAAUAUUAGUUUCAAAAUUGCACUCUUUAACGUCCACUCCCUGUCCCUUUGGUAUUUCAUAGGCUGUAUGUAUUGAGUGCUCAAUAGGUAAUAUUUUCUGUGGUGUACUGCUCUCCAAUCACUGGCACGGCCCCUAGUGGACAAUAAUAUGAAGCUUGGAGAUUCAUAAUUCUAUAUAUUUUCUUACCUGAAGUCUCUCUCUCUUCCGCUCUCUCGCUCGCUGAGAAAAGGAAGGAUCUGUUGAAAAACUAAACCCAUUUAUUAAAUAAACAUAUUACAUCCAAUUAGCAAUAUCAGGGCUGGUUUGGUUAUGUUGGAUUAUAUUGAGUAAAUAUUGAUUUUUAAGGAGAAAGUGUGAUGGGAGAUUGCGUAAUGAGUUAGGCUAUAGGCCUAAGGGUUAUUAUGGCAGGCUUGGUUUAUUAUCGGGUGAGGUGUCCAAAGGGAGCAAUAGUGACUACAUUUUUGAGAAGGGGAGGCUUUAAAAAAACGAUCUAUAACAAAUUCCCCCUUUAAGACAUUUUCACACUCAUUAUGUUCAAGAGUUGAUAGGGAUGGGCCUGAAUUUAAUGUUUGCUCUUACUAAAAAUGACGAAAUUAAUUUGCCAUGAAUUGCAGUGCUUUUCUUUUUUAGUUUAUACAUAAAUAAAAUACCCUAUACAUUUGUUAUCGUGCCUUUUGCUCCGUCCAGCCUUCAUUACAAAUAUGGUUUAUAUGCUGCAAACAGAAGUAGAGGUUGGUUUGGUCUCAAGAGUGGUCAAAUGGUGUUUGCCCGCAAUUCUCUUAGUUGUCGGUUUGCUUUUUACAAAUGCAGGGAAACUCCUGUUAAGUAUUCUUCAUGAUGUUUCAGACUCCCGCUGUUUCUUUCACAUUAUCAUAAGCAGAUUACAAAUAGCGGGGAACACACCCAUAUGCAGAUAGAGAGGGCUAUUUCUAACUUGCAUUAUAAUGGCCUGCUCUGCUGUAGCCUAGGCCUACCUAUCGCCACAUCUCACCCAAUUACUCAAAUGUUAAACUUUUCAAUAUUGUGGUAAUAAACUAUGUACCAAUGUCUAUAUAAUUUAAAUAAGUAGUGAUGUUUGGUUUGAUGAAAUAUACAAAAUAGGCCUAUAAUUAUUGUAUUUAAAAUAUAAUUUUAUGUAAUAUUAUAUGUUAAGCAUUGUAGAUGCAUAUCACUGAAAUGUUUAAGAAAUGUUUAAGACAUAAGAAUGUGUCCUAAAAAUACAGUCUAUACAGUGUCCAGAUUCUCGAUACAUUUAUGUAUUGGCCUAUUUGAUGCUUUUCCAGGGUCUACAGCGUCAUUCAUAGCCAAAUGUUCUACCAUAAGCGGGAAUGUAGCCUACAAAUGAGUAUACUAAACAUGUAGUUGGUAGCUUAUACAAGUUAUAUUAUUACAGUGCACAACAGAAUAAAUGAGUGUAUUAGGCAAUAACAGUGUUCCAUGACGCCUUUCAGGUUCAUAAAUGUGUUUUUGCUAUUGUCUAUUUCGCCAGCAGACGGCGCUGAAGGCAUGUAACAACGUCUGUGUGGCUCAUACCUAACCUUUUGGAUAUAGCCUAUGUGUGAAUUUAUAUAUGUAUAAACACGUGCUUUUACUGGAUACAUAGCGGCUUGUUACUGUAUUUUGCUUCUCAUAUUCUAUCAUCUUUCGUAGCUCACAUCUACAAUGUAAAUUAACCAUCAGAUCAUUAACAAAUAAAAACAAUUGUAUAGGCCUAUUUAAAACAUGUAUCUAUCCUAUAGGAGUUUUAACAAUGCCAAUUGUUGAUGUUAUGGGUUGAAAACCUAUGGGCAAAAGUGCAUGUUAUUUUGGCCUGUCAUUAAAGUAGUGACCACUCUUGGUCAUAUUGUUAGUGAGUGAACUUUUUUUGUUUACUCAAAUGUCCUACGACUAAGUGAAUUUCAACAACAAAUGUACUGACAACACCCGAAACAAAACUAGGCAACUUAUUUGUCUCCGUUUUCUUUUUAGCAUUCAACUUCAGUUCAAGUGAAGCUCAUCCUUUUCAACAAUGGGGAAACAGCUAAGCUUACCUAUCCCCUUUUCAAUGUAAAAACCGAGCUGAACUUGCUGAUCGGUUCCUUUUAUGUUAACUUAACUGAAAACACUAAUAUUUAUUUCAUGGAUUGCUACACUACUUGUAAUUACUAACAGAAAAGGAAUAACAUCACCCUUAUGGCUAUAGCCUCUACAACUACAACUAUUACUACAACUGUUACUAUGGCCUAAUGGUAAUAAAGUGAUUGUUCUAAGCAAACUUGAUAGAAUAAUAUAGGCUAGGAUAUUUGUAUGUUUAAGUUUUGAUUGAUUUAUGCCCCCAUUUGCUUUGCCCCUGUUUAGUCGUUGAACAUUUUUUUUAUAUCAGGAUAUAGCCUACAAAGAGAAAACAUGAUAUAAAGAUAUUUACAUUUGAUUCAGUAAAGAUGUAAUAUCUAAUUAAGUUUAAAAUGUUAUUUAUUAUUCUCAGCAACUUUUGAAUGUUGGCUAAAAAUAAUAGCCUAUAUAAAUUGAAACAGCUGAAUUGGUCCAAUAUGCUGUUUACCUAACAACAUAAUUAAAUGUAUCCUACUGUAUAAUUUCUGGAUCUUGUAAUCCUUCGAUUUUCAGUAGGAAGCACUUAAAGUUUGCCAUCCUAGUGAAAUGUUUCCACUUAAAGCACUUGCAAUAAUAAAUAUAUAGCUUAGGCCUAUUGGUUGAUAACAGCAGAUUCUGCCUCAGUGCUCCACCACUGACCGCAAGUAACCCCGCCCCUUUAUGCUAAAUAAAAGACACAAUCCUGGCCGAGGGAACAGUCGCUCUGUGAUUGGUCAGGUAAAAAGGCAUUUAUUCCCUGACAGCCCUCAUCACAUGAAUGGUUGUCUAUUAACUUGUUCAAAAAGUAUCAGGAGUUGUCAAGGCUCUGGCGAAGAGGGAAAAGUAGUUUGUUGAUUCUUUGAGACCAAGAGAGAAGUUUGUGGACACAACAGGACCUACUGGCUCAAAGCAAAAAGACGUUUACUAUUUCUACAAAGUUACUGAAAACGACAAGGUAACUCCAGCUAACUACCUUUUGAGUUGGACUUUUUCAAUUGGUCGGGCAAAU
rnacentral:lncRNA from 8 species